GACAGAGGGUGCAAACGUUGUUCGGAAUUACUGGGCGUAAAGCGCGUGUAGGCGGCCCUGCAAGUCGGAUGUGAAAUCCCACGGCUCAACCGUGGAAGUGCAUUCGAAACUGCAGGGCUAGAGUCCUGGAGAGGAAGGUGGAAUGCUUGGUGUAGAGGUGAAAUUCGUAGAUAUCAAGCGGAACACCGGUGGCGAAGGCGGCCUUCUGGACAGUGACUGACGUUGAGACGCGAAAGCGUGGGGAGCAAACAGG
rnacentral:rRNA from 1 species